rnacentral:lncRNA from 1 species
GUCAACAUUCAUUCUCACAUUGGGCCUGAGAUAUUCAUUCUCACUUUGGGGCUGAGCUCAGGUUUGAGCUGAUAUCAAAUGGAUUAGGCCCAAUGUUGAAGAUAAUAUGGAAGCCUAAUAUUCCUCUUAUCUUUUAUUUUAUUUUUGCAAUUAGUUACACUUCAUUCAAUAAGAAAUGGACAGUUGUAUAGUUAGUUACAGAAUAGAUGCUUUUCAUUUUGUAUAAAUAUAUGACCUUGUACAGUGAUGGAUUCAUUCAGAAAUAAAGGAAAGGAAAUUUAUACAUUGUGAGCUCUUAAUUUUCUCAUGGUAUCAGAGCAAAUCUGAUCUUUUCUUCUUCUCCAUAGUAUUCACUCUUCCUUCUUCUUCUUCCUUUCAUUUUCUGAAUAAUGACUGGUGUUCAGAUACCUCUUUCUCAAACUACUGAAAGUUUUGAAGUAGCUAUUGUAAACAAUACAGUAGAUGCUUCACAUGCUUUCUAUAUCUACCCUUCAGAUAUUCCAGGCAUGAAACUUGUAUCUACUAUUUUUGACAGUAGAAGCUAUGGUGGCUGGAGAAGGGCUGUGAUUAUUGCUCUCUCAGCUAAGAACAAACUAGGAUUCAUUGAUGGAUCUCUAGAAGUUCCAGCUAGUCGAAAAUGAAAAAAGCUUAGUCAAGAUGCAAUGAUAUGGUGUUGUCUUGGUUGCUAAAUUCUCUUUCAAAAGAAAUUGUUGAAUCAAUUUUGUACUCUCAAAGUGCCAAAGUUUUGUGGUCAGAUCUAGAAGAUAGAUUUGGUCAAGCAAAUAGUGCUAAGUUAUUUCAACUUCAAAAGGAUCUUAAUGCUGUUGUUCAAGGAAAUUCCAGCAUAUCUGCUUAUUUUACUAAGAUGAAAAGUUUAUGGGAUGAACUAGAUGCUUUAAGCACUUUUUCUGCUUGUUCUUGUAAUUGUACCUGUGGUGCAAAGGAAAAGGGAUUUAAGGCUCAUCAAGAUGAAAGGCUACUCCAUUUUUUAAUGGGUUUGAAUGAUAUUUUCUUAGGUAUUAGAAGCAAUAUCUUGUUAUCUGCACCUUUACCCACUAUUGGUCAAGCUUACUCUCUUGUAAUUCAGGAUGAAAAACAGAGAGAAAUCUAUGUUGCUCCUGCUUAUCCAGGAGAUUCAACAUCAUUUCUAGUAGGUAAUGCAAAGGAAAGGAAGAACAAUGAGUAUAAGUCUAAUCAAGGAAAUUAUGCCAAGAAAUCUUCAUUGGUGUGUAAUUACUGUAAGAAAACAGGACAUACUAUUGACCAAUGCUACAAGAUCCAUGGGUUCCCUGAUGAUUUUAAGUUUACUAAACCUAAGAGGUACCAAAAGGGACCUGUUGCUGGAAAUGUUUUUAGCACAGGGGAAGCAUCACAACAAGGAAAUUCUGAUCAUGCAGCUUUGAACAGUCUAUCACCAGAAAAUGUUAGUCAACUACUAGGACUGCUGCAAAAGAUGAAUAAAAAAGAUCAAGCUGAAUCAUCUGCAAAUAUAAUAUCCUCUGGUAUAACUAAGUCUCUUAAAUCUCAUGCUUGUCUACUUAAAAUUGAUAAAUGUUCUUGGAUACUAGAUAGUGGAGCUUCUGAGCAUAUUACUUCUGAUAGAAGUUUCUUCUCUAAUAUUAAUCCUCUUACUGACCCUAUAAAUGUCACUCUUCCUAAUUCUCAUAAAGUCAAUGUAACUCAUACAAGUUCUGUCCAACUCUUUUCUGAUCUUAUUUUAGAAAAUGUGCUCUAUAUUCCCUCUUUUAAGUUCAAUCUUAUAUCCAUUCACAAGUUGUGCAGACAACUACAGAAAUCCAUUCUUUUUACCCCUAAUUCUUGUUUGAUUUUGCAGGGCCCUUCAGUGAAGAGCCCUCAUGUGCUUGGUAAGGAAAAAAAAGGUUUAUAUAUUCUCAAGAUCAGUGAUCCAGCUGUUGGUACAAACAAUCCUACCAUUUCCAAGUUUAAUAGUUUCUCUUUUUCUACUUUUCUAGCAGAUGUCUUUACUUCUAGUUCUAGCUAUUUUGAUUCCAAUGUAAAAGAAAAGAUGUGGCACUAUAGAUUAGGCCAUAUGCCAAUGAGUAAUAUGAAGAAAGUUUUUCCUAUUUCUACAUCUUGUUCCAAAUUUUCUUCUCCUUGUAUUAUUUGUCAUAUGGCUAGACAGUCAAAGUUACCUUUUCCAUCUAGCAAUAUUUCCACUAUCACUGUUUUUGAGCUAAUUCAUGUUGACACUUGGGGGCCUUAUAAAACUGCUACUCACAAUGGUUUUAGAUACUUCAUUACCAUUGUAGAUGAUUUUAGUAGAGCAACAUGGACAUAUCUUCUUAGCAUCAAGUCUAAUAUUUUUACUAUCCUUCAAUCUUUCAUUCAUAUGGUGGAAAGGCAAUUCAAUUCAAUAAUAAAAAUAAUUAGAACUGAUAAUGCUUUUGAAUUGGGUAGUGGUAAAUUACAAUCUGAAUUUUUCAUUUCCAAGGGAAUUAUCCAUCAAACUACUUGUGUCCACACUCCUCAACAAAAUGGGAUUGUAGAAAGAAAACACAAACAUUUGUUAGAAACCUCAAGAGCCCUUUUAUAUCAGUCUCAUCUUCCUAUUAGCUAUUGGGGUGAAUGCUUACUAACAGCAACUUAUCUCAUCAACAAAUUUUCCUCUAGUGUUUUACAUUUCAAAACACCUUUUGAAAUCUUGUUUAAAACUAAACCUAUUUACUCUCACUUAAAAUGCUUUGGAUGUCUUUGUUUUGUGUCUACUUUACCUAUUCACAGAAGUAAGUUUGAUCCAAAAGCUUGUCCUUGUGUUUUUAUAGGAUAUCCUUAUGGGAAAAAGGGAUACAAGGUCAUGAAUCUUCAAACUAAGAAAAUAUCAAUCUCAAGGGAUGUGGUUUUUCAUGAAGAGUAUUUUCCCUUUUCUAAACAUGUGCCUUCUACCAGUUAUUUCCCUUCUAAUUCUUUACCUAAUUUGUCUGUUACUUUUCCUUUCCCUCCAAAUUCUCCUGUUAAUCCUUGUUCAGAUCUUACUGAUAAUGCUAUACUUUCUUAUCAUAGUUGUGAUCCUCCUGAGGAUGUGUCUCCUGAUCCUCCUAUUUCUGAUUCCCAGAAUUUCUCAUAUGAUAAUUCUUCUAUUUUUUCUACUCCUUCACCUAUUGUUGAGACUCUUCAAAGGAAAUCCACUAGGAACCAUAAGAAGCCUGUUUAUUUAGAAUCAUAUGUCUGCAAUGCUCUGCAUUUUACAGAUGUUUCUUCUAGUUGUUUCUUGAGUCAUGUUACUCCUGAGCACUUAUCUUUUAGUGAUUUGUCUUCUACCAAUCAAAUUAUGCUCAAUUCCAUUUCUAGUAUACAAGAACCUAUCAAUUAUAUGCAAGCUGCACAUCAUCCAGGUUGGCAAAAAGCAAUAGACAAUGAACUUUCAGCUUUGGAGCUUAACAAAACUUGGGAUAUUGUUGUCUUACCCAAUGGUAAAAGAGCUUUACCUUCUAAAUGGGUUUUUAAAGUCAAACAACAUGCUGAUGGCAGUAUAGAAAGACUAAAGGCUAGAUUGGUGAUCAGAGGAGAUGUUCAAAAGGAAGGGGUAGAUUAUCAGGUGUCUUUUAGCUACAUCAGUUAAGCAUGGUUGGGGUAUUUUCCAAUUAGAUGUUAACAAUGCUUUUUUACAUGGUGAUUUAAAUGAAGAGGUGUAUAUGAAGUUUCCUCCAGGUGUUUCACCUCUUACUUCUGACCAUGUAUGUCUGCUUAAGAAGUCCAUUUAUGGACUUAAACAAGCAUCCAAACAAUGGUAUGCUAAGUUGACUGAUGCUCUUAAUUUCAAAGGAUUUUGUCAUUCUUUGAAUGAUUAUUCACUGUUCGUUAAAAAAUCAGACAAUUCUAUUUCUAUUGUUGUUGUUUAUGUGGAUGAUAUCCUUUUGACAGGAAAUAAUGAAGCAGAAUUACACAGUUUAAAGAGUUUCUUAGACACAGAAUUCAAGAUUAAGGAUCUUGGUUCUUUACAUUUUUUUCUUGGAAUGGAGGUUGUUCGAGAACCUCAAGGUCUGCUUAUUUCACAAAGGAAGUUCACAUUGGAUUUUUUGCGAGAAUUUGAUUCUCCACAUCUAAGUCCUGUUUCUUGUCCAUUAGAUCCAACUAUCAAGUUAUUGGCUAAUCAUGGAGAGCCUAUCACCGAUCCAACUUUCUAUCGACAUUUAUUGGGUAAAUUGAACUACCUGACUAAUACAAGGCCUGAUCUUUCUUUCACUGUGCAGCACCUAAUUCAAUACAUGCAGGAUCCUCGUCAGCCACACCUAACUGCUGCUUUGAAGGUGCUACGUUAUUUGCUGAAAGAUCCAGGUCUUGGUCUAUUUUUCUCCUCAUAUUCCUCCUUCAAACUGACAGCCUUUUGUGAUUCCGAUUGGGGUACCUGUCCAGAUUCACGCAGAUCAGUUAGAGGCUACUAUAUUUCUCUUGGAACUUCUCCUCUUUCUUGGAAAUCGAAGAAACAAUCUUCCAUUUCCCUCAGUUCUGCUGAAGCUGAAUAUCGCUCAAUGAGAAGGGUUGUUGCUGAACUCACCUGGUUAGUUCGUCUGUUCGAAGACCUCUCUGUUCAUGUGCCUCUUCUGGUGCCUCUUCAUUCGGAUAGUCUUGCAGCUAUACACAUCACGAAGAAUCCGGUAUUCCAUGAACGGACGAAGCACGUCGAACUUGACUGUCACUUUGUCCGUCAACAAUACCUAGCCGGACUCAUCUCCUUGUCGUAUGUUCGAUCUACUUCACAACUAGCCGACAUUUUUACGAAAUCUCUUACAGGACAUGUUCAUCAUAAGCUUCUUGGCAAGUUGGGUGUUUCUAAUAGCCCUCAAACUUGAGGUAGGGUGUCAACAUUCAUUCUCACAUUGGGCCUGAGAUAUUCAUUCUCACUUUGGGCCUGAGCUCAGGUUUGAGUUGAUAUCAAAUGGAUUAGGCCCAAUGUUGAAGAUAAUAUGGAAGCCUAAUAUUCCUCUUAUCUUUUAUUUUAUUUUUGCAAUUAGUUACACUUCAUUCAAUAAGAAAUGGACAGCUGUAUAGUUAGUUACAAAAUAGAUGCUUUUCAUUUUGUAUAAACAUAGGACCUUGUACAGUGAUGGAUUCAUUC